rnacentral:rRNA from 1 species
AGGACAAACGUUGGCGGUGCGUCUUAGACAUGCAAGUCGAGCGUGAAAGCCCGCAAGGGUGAGUAAAGCGGCGAACGGGUGAGUAAUACUUGGGUAACGUACCUUCUAGAUUGGGAUAACGCACCGAAAGGUGUGCUAAUACCAGAUAUGACCACGAUUUCUUCGGAGGUUGAGGUAAAAGAUGGCGCAAGCUAUCACUGGAAGAUCGGCUCAAGCACCAUUAGCUAGUUGGCGGGGUAAUGGCCCACCAAGGCUACGAUGGUUAGCCGGCCUGAGAGGGUGAUCGGCCACACUGGGACUGAGAUACGGCCCAGACUCCUACGGGAGGCAGCAGUUUGGAAUAUUCCACAAUGGACGCAAGUCUGAUGGAGCGACACCGCGUGAAGGAUGAAGGUCUUCGGAUCGUAAACUUCUUAGACCUAGAUGAAGGUUGCAAGGUAAUAAUCUUGCAACUUGACAGUAUAGGUAGAAUAAGCCACGGCUAACUCUGUG